UACGUAGGUGGCAAGCGUUGUCCGGAAUUAUUGGGCGUAAAGCGCGCGCAGGCGGUCCUUUAAGUCUGAUGUGAAAGCCCACGGCUCAACCGUGGAGGGUCAUUGGAAACUGGGGGACUUGAGUACAGAAGAGAAGAGUGGAAUUCCACGUGGUAGCGGUGAAAUGCGUAGAGAUGUGGAGGACACCAGUGGCGAAGGCGACUCUUUGGUCUGUAACUGACGCUGAGGCGCGAAAGCGUGGGGAGCAAACAGG
rnacentral:rRNA from 1 species